AAACUAAAAAUUAUUUAUUUUUAAUAUAUUACAUUUCGUCUGUAAAGAAUAUUUAGUU
rnacentral:tRNA from 1 species